UUAAGCGACUAAGCGUACACGGUGGAUGCCCUGGCAGUCAGAGGCGAUGAAGGACGUGCUAAUCUGCGAUAAGCGUCGGUAAGGUGAUAUGAACCGUUAUAACCGGCGAUUUCCGAAUGGGGAAACCCAGUGUGAUUCGUCACACUAUCAUUAACUGAAUCCAUAGGUUAAUGAGGCGAACCGGGGGAACUGAAACAUCUAAGUACCCCGAGGAAAAGAAAUCAACCGAGAUUCCCCCAGUAGCGGCGAGCGAACGGGGAGCAGCCCAGAGCCUGAAUCAGUGUGUGUGUUAGUGGAAGCGUCUGGAAAGGCGCGCGAUACAGGGUGACAGCCCCGUACACAAAAAUGCACAUGCUGUGAGCUCGAUGAGUAGGGCGGGACACGUGGUAUCCUGUCUGAAUAUGGGGGGACCAUCCUCCAAGGCUAAAUACUCCUGACUGACCGAUAGUGAACCAGUACCGUGAGGGAAAGGCGAAAAGAACCCCGGCGAGGGGAGUGAAAAAGAACCUGAAACCGUGUACGUACAAGCAGUGGGAGCACGCUUCGGCGUGUGACUGCGUACCUUUUGUAUAAUGGGUCAGCGACUUAUAUUCUGUAGCAAGGUUAACCGAAUAGGGGAGCCGAAGGGAAACCGAGUCUUAACUGGGCGUUAAGUUGCAGGGUAUAGACCCGAAACCCGGUGAUCUAGCCAUGGGCAGGUUGAAGGUUGGGUAACACUAACUGGAGGACCGAACCGACUAAUGUUGAAAAAUUAGCGGAUGACUUGUGGCUGGGGGUGAAAGGCCAAUCAAACCGGGAGAUAGCUGGUUCUCCCCGAAAGCUAUUUAGGUAGCGCCUCGUGAAUUCAUCUCCGGGGGUAGAGCACUGUUUCGGCAAGGGGGUCAUCCCGACUUACCAACCCGAUGCAAACUGCGAAUACCGGAGAAUGUUAUCACGGGAGACACACGGCGGGUGCUAACGUCCGUCGUGAAGAGGGAAACAACCCAGACCGCCAGCUAAGGUCCCAAAGUCAUGGUUAAGUGGGAAACGAUGUGGGAAGGCCCAGACAGCCAGGAUGUUGGCUUAGAAGCAGCCAUCAUUUAAAGAAAGCGUAAUAGCUCACUGGUCGAGUCGGCCUGCGCGGAAGAUGUAACGGGGCUAAACCAUGCACCGAAGCUGCGGCAGCGACGCUGAUGCGUUGUUGGGUAGGGGAGCGUUCUGUAAGCCUGUGAAGGUGUGCUGUGAGGCAUGCUGGAGGUAUCAGAAGUGCGAAUGCUGACAUAAGUAACGAUAAAGCGGGUGAAAAGCCCGCUCGCCGGAAGACCAAGGGUUCCUGUCCAACGUUAAUCGGGGCAGGGUGAGUCGACCCCUAAGGCGAGGCCGAAAGGCGUAGUCGAUGGGAAACAGGUUAAUAUUCCUGUACUUGGUGUUACUGCGAAGGGGGGACGGAGAAGGCUAUGUUGGCCGGGCGACGGUUGUCCCGGUUUAAGCGUGUAGGCUGGUUUUCCAGGCAAAUCCGGAAAAUCAAGGCUGAGGCGUGAUGACGAGGCACUACGGUGCUGAAGCAACAAAUGCCCUGCUUCCAGGAAAAGCCUCUAAGCAUCAGGUAACAUCAAAUCGUACCCCAAACCGACACAGGUGGUCAGGUAGAGAAUACCAAGGCGCUUGAGAGAACUCGGGUGAAGGAACUAGGCAAAAUGGUGCCGUAACUUCGGGAGAAGGCACGCUGAUAUGUAGGUGAGGUCCCUCGCGGAUGGAGCUGAAAUCAGUCGAAGAUACCAGCUGGCUGCAACUGUUUAUUAAAAACACAGCACUGUGCAAACACGAAAGUGGACGUAUACGGUGUGACGCCUGCCCGGUGCCGGAAGGUUAAUUGAUGGGGUUAGCGGUAACGCGAAGCUCUUGAUCGAAGCCCCGGUAAACGGCGGCCGUAACUAUAACGGUCCUAAGGUAGCGAAAUUCCUUGUCGGGUAAGUUCCGACCUGCACGAAUGGCGUAAUGAUGGCCAGGCUGUCUCCACCCGAGACUCAGUGAAAUUGAACUCGCUGUGAAGAUGCAGUGUACCCGCGGCAAGACGGAAAGACCCCGUGAACCUUUACUAUAGCUUGACACUGAACAUUGAGCCUUGAUGUGUAGGAUAGGUGGGAGGCUUUGAAGUGUGGACGCCAGUCUGCAUGGAGCCGACCUUGAAAUACCACCCUUUAAUGUUUGAUGUUCUAACGUUGACCCGUAAUCCGGGUUGCGGACAGUGUCUGGUGGGUAGUUUGACUGGGGCGGUCUCCUCCUAAAGAGUAACGGAGGAGCACGAAGGUUGGCUAAUCCUGGUCGGACAUCAGGAGGUUAGUGCAAUGGCAUAAGCCAGCUUGACUGCGAGCGUGACGGCGCGAGCAGGUGCGAAAGCAGGUCAUAGUGAUCCGGUGGUUCUGAAUGGAAGGGCCAUCGCUCAACGGAUAAAAGGUACUCCGGGGAUAACAGGCUGAUACCGCCCAAGAGUUCAUAUCGACGGCGGUGUUUGGCACCUCGAUGUCGGCUCAUCACAUCCUGGGGCUGAAGUAGGUCCCAAGGGUAUGGCUGUUCGCCAUUUAAAGUGGUACGCGAGCUGGGUUUAGAACGUCGUGAGACAGUUCGGUCCCUAUCUGCCGUGGGCGCUGGAGAACUGAGGGGGGCUGCUCCUAGUACGAGAGGACCGGAGUGGACGCAUCACUGGUGUUCGGGUUGUCAUGCCAAUGGCACUGCCCGGUAGCUAAAUGCGGAAGAGAUAAGUGCUGAAAGCAUCUAAGCACGAAACUUGCCCCGAGAUGAGUUCUCCCUGACUCCUUGAGAGUCCUGAAGGAACGUUGAAGACGACGACGUUGAUAGGCCGGGUGUGUAAGCGCAGCGAUGCGUUGAGCUAACCGGUACUAAUGAACCGUGAGGCUUAACCUU
rnacentral:rRNA from 1 species